GGAAUAUUGGUCAAUGGAGGCAACUCUGAACCAGCCAUGCCGCGUGCAGGAUGACGGUCCUAUGGAUUGUAAACUGCUUUUGUACAGGAAGAAACCGCUCUACGUGUAGAGCCUUGACGGUACUGUAAGAAUAAGGAUCGGCUAACUCCGUGCCAGCAGCCGCGGUAAUACGGAGGAUCCAAGCGUUAUCCGGAAUCAUUGGGUUUAAAGGGUCCGUAGGCGGCUUAGCAAGUCAGUGGUGAAAUCUCCCCGCUCAACGGGGAAACGGCCAUUGAUACUACUAGGCUUGAAUUAUUAGGAAGUAACUAGAAUAUGUAGUGUAGCGGUGAAAUGCUUAGAUAUUACAUGGAAUACCAAUUGCGAAGGCAGGUUACUACUAAUUGAUUGACGCUGAUGGACGAAAGCGUGGGGAGCGAACAGGAUUAGAUACCCUUG
rnacentral:rRNA from 1 species